rnacentral:rRNA from 1 species
GACGAACGCUGGCGGCGUGCUUAACACAUGCAAGUCGAACGGAGUGGCGAACGGGUGCGUAACACGUGGGUGAGCGGACCUGCACUUCGGGAUAAGCGUGGGAAACUGGGUGUAAUACUGGAUAGUGGUGGUUGGGCGCGCGGCUUAUCAGUUUGUUGGUGGGGUAAAGGCCUGCCAAGGCGACGAUCCGUAACUGGUCUGAGAGGAUGGACGGGCACAUUGGGCCUGGGACACCGGCCAGACUCCUACGGGAGGCAGCAGUGGGGACUUGUGCGCACUGGGCGGAGGGCUGAUGCAGCGACUCCGGGUGGGGGAUGACGGCCUUCGGGGUGUAAACUGCUUUCGCCUGCGACGCGGUAGUUGGAGAGGAAGCACCGGCUAACUACGUGCCAGCAGCCGCGGUAAUAC